rnacentral:rRNA from 1 species
CAUAUCAGUCAUGCAUAGCAUAUCAAUAAGCGGAGGAAAAGAAACUAACAAGGAUUCCCUUAGUAACGGCGAGCUGAAGCGGGAAGAGCUCAAAUUUGAAAUCUUCAAGGUUCUACCUUGACGAAUUGUAGUUUAUAGAAGUGUUUUCUGUUAGUGGAGUGGCAAAAGUUCUUUGGAAUAGGACAUCAUAGAGGGUGAGAAUCCCGUAUUUGGUCAUUCCUCCUAGCGUUGUGAUACACUUUCAACGAGUCGGAUUGUUUGGGAAUGCAGUCCAAAAUGGGUGGUAAAUUUCAUCUAAAGCUAAAUAUUGGCGAGAGACCGAUAGCGAACAAGUACCGUGAGGGAAAGAUGAAAAGAACUUUGAAAAGAGAGUUAAACAGUACGUGAAAUUGUCAAAAGGGAAGCGUUUGACACCAGUGUUGUUUUUCCGAAGAUCAAUUACGAAUGUUUUGUUUUUGAGGAGUUAUGACUUCAUCGGCUUGCUUCUUUCUUUACUGAAACUUUCUUAAUGCACUUUUCGGUUAACAAGUCAACAUCAAUUUCUUUUGUUGUAAAAGGGUAUGAGGAAGGUGGCUUUCUUUUCGGAGAAAGUGUUUAUAGCCUUGUGCCUCUGCAAUCGGAGAGAUUGAGGUCUGCAGCGUAGAUCCUUCGGGGUUAGAUACGUUUGUGCUAAGUUAUAGCUUUUCAUAGACAACUUGUUGACUAUGUUUAGUCUUGUAGCUUACUCGCUUAUGCUAUUUUACCUACGCUUAGGAUGUUGAUCUCUCACAGUCGAGC